rnacentral:lncRNA from 1 species
GGUGCUGAGUAUAGGGACUGCCAGUGGCUUAGAAUCUUUCAAUGAUGCUUGUGGAUGAAGAAAUGGUUCCUAAAUCACAGUCUGGAGCUUCCAAUAUGAUUCCAAGGAAGUCUAUUUGAAAUAUGGCCCUGUUACAACCAGAGAUAGGGCUUUGUUCGGUCAGAUGGGUCCAGGUUUCCCUUUGAUGAUGUUACUCAUUAAAAUCUCUAAAUAUUUCUCCAGACAAUUAAGAAGAGUUGAUGAACAUUCGCCCAGUUUCCCUGAGAGGCCAGCUGGUGCUAAGGUGGAGCUCUGGGGACUGGAGAGGAGGAGGAGUCAGAGUCUGCUUCCUUGA